rnacentral:lncRNA from 1 species
UUAAAUAGAGGGAACCAUGAGGAGAGUAAAGGUACCUUUCUUGGCUGAUCCCUUUCGCUGUAUGGCGUGCUCGUUUGGGUUGGGCGUCUGUUAAGAGUGCUCGGAGCUUGGAUGAACUCCAAUCGCCAAUCAGGUGUGUAUUUCUCGCUACUCUAGCUGUAGGAUGGCUACUUCGACCCGCGAUGGGCCGAAAGGGGUCGUGUGGGCCCAAUAGGCCUAGGGCCCAAUUGGAUAAGUUGUUUGAUUGUGUAGUAAAUAUUAGACUAGGCUAGGUGAAUCUCAUAUCUGUGGCUAGAUCUGGGCUAAAAGGGCCACACGAGCGUGUGGGCCCAUUUGGGCCGAGAAUAGGCUUUAGGCCCAUUCGUAUUGUUAUCAUUGUUUAGAAUACUUUAGUUUACCAAAUUACUGAAAUACCUUCAAAUUGUAAAAUUACCAAAGUACCCUCGAUUUAUAGAAUUACUGUUUUACCCUUGAUUUACAGAAUUACCGUUUUACCCUCAAUUUAUAGAAUUACUGUUUUACCAUUGAUUUACAGAAUUACUAUUUUACCCUCGAUUUAUAGAAUUACUGUUUUACCCUUGAUUUACAGAAUUACCGUUUUACCCUCAAUUUAUAGAAUUACUGUUUUACCAUUGAUUUACAAAAUUACUAUUUUACCCUCGAUUUACAAAAUUACUAAAAUACCCUCGGUUUGUAAAAUUACCAAAAUACCCCUAGUUUGUAAAAUUACCAAAAUACCACUGGUUUGUGAAAUUAUCGAAAUACCCUCAAUUUGUAAAAUUACCAAAAUACCCCUGAUUUACAAAGUUACAGAAAUACCCUUGACUUUCUAAAAAUUAUGGAAAUAGCAUUGGUUUAACAAAAUUACUAAAAUACCCUUGGUUUGUAGAUUUACCAAAACACCCUUGUAGGAUGAAAUGACUAAAAUACCCCUAUUAGGUAAAAAGAUCGUAAAGCCCCUGUAAGGUAAAGAGACCGUAAAGCCCCUGUAGGGUAAAGUGACCGUAAUACCCCUAUAUGGUAAAAUAACGAAUGUGCCCUUAUGUUCCGUAUGACUGAUGUGCUUAGGAUUUACAUAUAUUGAUAUUGGAUUAGUUAAGUUUGAGUGACAGGUGGUGGUUAUCAUAGGCUAUUGAUUUUGGAAACGUUUCAACUUCAACCCGUAACAGGUGUGUACUAACCCUCGUAAUAGCUUAGAUUAAUAUUUGCUGAGAAGCCGAAAUGCUAAAAUACCGGUAUUUCGGGAACUUGUAAUGUUGCGUUUGGGUAAAUGCGAUAAAUACGAUAAGAUCGGUGUUUGGAUCGAUGGAACAGGUAAGAACUCAAUUUUGUGCACGAUGGUAAGUUGGGCCUCAAUGGGCUGAAAUUGGGCCCAAUGGGCUUUCAGACCCAUUUGGGUAGAAUUGAUAGAAAAUGGAAUUUGGAAAAGUUGCACGUUAACACGGUUAGUAUUAUUGUAAAAUUUGGGUUAAGUAGGCUAAAUCAGCAUUCGUAGGGCCCAUUAGGGGUUUUGGGCCCAAAAGCCCGAAUUUGAUAAAGUGGGUUAAAGAUCAUUGUUUAAACACUUAGAAAUAUUGAUAAUUGUAAUGAACAUGAAAAAUCCUGAUAUUUGGUAAAAUUACGAAAAUACCCUUAUAAUGUGAAAAAUGACUGUUUUGCCCUUGUGGGCAAGUGACUGACUUGGACUGUGUGGUUGACGGAUUGAUUGUGAAUAUAUAUUGGUGAUAUGAAUGACUUGACUGUGAUUGUUUAUUCAAAUAUGGGCAUGACAUUCUGCAGUACAUGACAUGUUGGGUUGGGUUUUUAUAUAGAUGGAGGAAGUGCAAAAGGGCUUAUGCCCCAGUUUAUUGAAAAUGGCUUAUGCCCCAGUUUACUGAAAAUAGCUUAUGCCCAAGUUUAUUGAAAAGGGUUUUGCCCCAGUUUACCGAAAAGGGCUUUGCCCCAGUUAUUAAAAGAGGCUAGGCCUCCAGAUAUAUGGUAAAGAAGCUAUGCUGCCAGUGGUGUGUUGGUUGGGUGAGUUGAAUCAUUCCCCACAUGGUGUGUUGGUUGGUACGGGUGGAGAGUAGUGGAUGGUGGGUCAAGUAUUCUCCCCAAAUGGGCUUGCAUACAUCCAUUGACAUUACAUGUGAUAUUGAAAUGGGCCUAAGGGCUAUACCGUUUACAGUAAAGGCUUCGGCCCAAUGAUAUGAUUUAUGAAAAGGCUUCGGCCCAGUGAUAUGAUUUAUGAAAAGGCUUCAGCCGAGUAACCGUUAAAUGAAAGGCUUAGGCCCAGUAUAUGUCAAGACUAAAUAGGGCUUUGGCCCAGAUUGUAUUGAUACUGUGUUUUCACUGUUUGUUUGUUAUUGGGAUUACACACUGAGUUUCGUAAACUCACCCCAUUUCUAACUGUGCAGGUAAUCCCUAACCUUAGAUGGUUUGGAGCUGCGAGGGACUCGGAGAUGGCCACACUACUGUUUCUAUUUCUUUUAAUUGCAAUAAGUAGCCGAUUUUUUUCUUUAUAAGUUUUAUCUUAUUAAUAUUAUUGUUUGGUUUUGAGUUGUAAUAAGGCCAUUUUAAUUAUUUUUCUGGG